CAACCUGCCCACCACUUGGGGAUAACCUUGCGAAAGUAAGACUAAUACCCAAUGAUAUCUCUAGAAGGCAUCAGAAAGAGAUUAAAGAUUUAUCGGUGAUGGAUGGGGAUGCGUCUGAUUAGCUUGUUGGCGGGGUAACGGCCCACCAAGGCUACGAUCAGUAGGGGUUCUGAGAGGAANGUCCCCCACAUUGGAACUGAGACACGGUCCAAACUCCUACGGGAGGCAGCAGUGAGGAAUAUUGGUCAAUGGACGAGAGUCUGAACCAGCCAAGUAGCGUGCAGGAAGACGGCCCUAUGGGUUGUAAACUGCUUUUAUAAGGGAAUAAAGUGAGUCUCGUGAGACUUUUUGCAUGUACCUUAUGAAUAAGGACCGGCUAAUUCCGUGCCAGCAGCCGCGGUAAUACGGAAGGUCCGGGCGUUAUCCGGAUUUAUUGGGUUUAAAGGGAGCGUAGGCCGGAGAUUAAGCGUGUUGUGAAAUGUAGAUGCUCAACAUCUGAACUGCAGCGCGAACUGGUUUCCUUGAGUACGCACAAAGUGGGCGGAAUUCGUGGUGUAGCGGUGAAAUGCUUAGAUAUCACGAAGAACUCCGAUUG
rnacentral:rRNA from 1 species